GACGAACGCUGGCGGCGUGCCUAAUACAUGCAAGUAGGACGCAGUUGCGAACGUGUGAGUAACGCGUAGGUAACUACCUAUUAGAGGGGGCUAACUAUUGGAAACGAUAGCUAAUACCGCAUACUAGUAGAUGGACCUGCGUUGUAUUAGCUAGUAGGUAGGGGAAUGGCCUACCUGGGCAAAGAUACAUAGCCGAGCGGAGUGGGUUGGCGGGCACAACGGGACUUGUGAACGGCCCAAACUGCUGCGGGAAGCAACAGUAGGGAAUCUGCGGGAAGGGGGGGAACCCUGACCGAGCAACGCCGCGUGAGUGAAGAGGGUUUUCGGAGCGUAAAGCUCUGUUGUUAAGGAAGCGGUACUUAACCAGAAUGCGACGGCUAACUACGUGCCAGCAGCCGCGGUAAUUC
rnacentral:rRNA from 1 species